UACGUAGGGUGCAAGCGUUAAUCGGAAUUACUGGGCGUAAAGCGUGCGCAGGCGGUUAUGCAAGACAGAGGUGAAAUCCCGGGCUCAACCUGGGAACUGCCUUUGUGACUGCAUGACUAGAGUACGGUAGAGGGGAUGGAAUUCCGCGUGUAGCAGUGAAAUGCGUAGAUAUGCGGAGACACCGAUGGCGAAGGCAAUCCCCUGGACCUGUACUGACGCUCAUGCACGAAAGCGUGGG
rnacentral:rRNA from 1 species